CCUACGGGUGGCAGCAGUGAGGAAUAUUGGUCAAUGGACGCAAGUCUGAACCAGCCAUGCCGCGUGCAGGAAGACGGCUCUAUGAGUUGUAAACUGCUUUUGUACGAGGGUAAACGCAGAUACGCGUAUCUGUCUGCACGUAUCGUACGAAUAAGGAUCGGCUAACUCCGUGCCAGCAGCCGCGGUAAUACGGAGGAUUCAAGCGUUAUCCGGAUUUAUUGGGUUUAAAGGGUUCGUAGGCGGUCUGAUAAGUGAGAGGUGAAAUCCCGAGGCUCAACUUCGGAAUUGCCUCUGAUACUGUUCGGCUAGAGAGUAGUUGCGGUAGGCGGAAUGUAUGGUGUAGCGGUGAAAUGCUUAGAGAUCAUACAGAACACCGAUUGCGAAGGCAGCUUACCAAGCUACUUCUGACGUUGAGGCACGAAAGCGUGGGGAGCAAACAGGAUUAGAUACCCCUGUAGUC
rnacentral:rRNA from 1 species